rnacentral:tRNA from 1 species
GGGCGGGUGGUGGAACUGGCAGACACGCAGGUCUUAGAAGCCUGUGCCUUCGGCAUACGGGUUCGAUUCCCGUCCCGCUCA